AUUGAACGCUGGCGGCAGGCCUAACACAUGCAAGUCGGACGGUAGCACAGGGGAGCUUGCUCCCCGGGUGACGAGUGGCGGACGGGUGAGUAAUGUCUGGGAAACUGCCUGAUGGAGGGGGAUAACUACUGGAAACGGUAGCUAAUACCGCAUAACGUCGCAAGACCAAAGAGGGGGACCUUCGGGCCUCUUGCCAUCAGAUGUGCCCAGGUGGGAUUAGCUAGUAGGUGGGGUAACGGCUCACCUAGGCGACGAUCCCUAGCUGGUCUGAGAGGAUGACCAGCCACACUGGAACUGGGCCACGGUCCAGACGCCGACGGGAGGCAGCAGUGGGGAAUAUUGCACAAUGGGCGCAAGCCUGAUGCAGCCAUGCCGCGUGUAUGAAGAAGGCCUUCGGGUUGUAAAGUACUUUCAGCGGGGAGGAAGGUGUUGUGGUUAAUAACCACAGCAAUUGACGUUACCCGCAGAAGAAGCACCGGCUAACUCCGUGCCAGCAGCCGCAGUAA
rnacentral:rRNA from 1 species